GCUCAGGAUGAACGCUAGCGGCAGGCCUAAUACAUGCAAGUCGAACGGUGAUAGCAAUAUCAUAGUGGCGCACGGGUGCGUAACACGUAUGCAACCUACCUAUUAUUGGGGGAUAGCCUUUGGAAACGGAGAUUAAUACCGCAUAAUACGAUUGACUGGCAUCGGUUGAUUGUUAAAGCUUCGGCGAUAAUAGAUGGGCAUGCGUCCAAUUAGUUAGUUGGUUAGGUAACGGCUGACCAAGACGAUGAUUGGUAGGGGAUCUGAGAGGAUAAUCCCCCACACUGGCACUGAGAUACGGGCCAGACUCCUACGGGAGGCAGCAGUAGGGAAUAUUGGGCAAUGGGCGGAAGCCUGACCCAGCCAUGCCGCGUGCAGGAAGAAGGCGUUAUGCGUUGUAAACUGCUUUUUUAUAGGAAGAAGGAUCCCUUGCGAGGGAAGGUGACGGUACUAUAAGAAUAAGCACCGGCUAACUCCGUGCCAGCAGCCGCGGUAAUACGGAGGGUGCAAGCGUUGUCCGGAUUUAUUGGGUUUAAAGGGUGCGUAGGCGGUUUAUUAAGUCAGUGGUGAAAGACGGUCGCUNCACGAUUGCAGUGCCAUUGAUACUGGUAGACUUGAGUG
rnacentral:rRNA from 1 species